UAAAAGGGUGAAUUCAUUGUUGAUAAGGAAAGGGAAAGAAUCUAGUAAAGGUUUUGGGAAUGUUAAAGAAAAGAAUGAGGUUCUUGUUAGCUAAAGAAGAAGGGUUAAAAGCCUUUGGUUUUAAUGAUUAAAAAUAGGAACCUUAGUUGUUAAAGAAAUCCAAAUCCGCUAGAUGUAUCAGAGUGUUGAGAAAGCUUCUCCUAGAGUUAAGAGAAAAGAAAAGAAUGAUAUGAAAAAGAGUUUAAAAGAUUCACGAGUGCAAAGGGUAGAGUUAAGUUCUUGUAUUGGCACUGGAGUUGGGAGUACCAUUAGAGCUUCAUUUUUAUACUCUGGGUAGAUGGGAUCUUAUCUCUGUAUGCAUAGCUUGGGACUUACCUUUAGCAUUCUACUAAAGCUCAAUCAUUUUUUGAGAGAUCCCUUGUUACUGAAGCCUAUUCUGUAAGGGACCAUUACCUUAGCCAAAUGAGUUCAUUGAUGAUGCAUUGCUUGAUUCACGUUCUAGAACUAAUGAAUCUUAAAGGGAUUGGUAGAUUUGAAAGCAUGUGUAGGUCGAGUAUAAGAGACGGAUUGAUUGAUAACAAGGCAUGGCUAACGUUUUUGAGUAAAAUUCGAUCAUAUCGCAUCUUAGAACUACCAACUUGGACAUUGAUUUUAUUUGCUCUACCUGAUGCUUUGGUUCUGAGUCCCCACCUUCAAACCUCUCCUUCAACUAUGUCUUCUUAUUUGCUUGAGGGCAAGCAAAGACUAAGUUUGGGGGAGUUGAUAUGUCUAUAAUUUGCAUGUUUUCAGUGUUCAUUCAUCAUCAUUUUGAGUCUACUUUCAUAUCAUUCAUCACUGUUUUAUAUCAUUUCUUAUCAUUCUUGCAUACUUUGCAUGAUUAGGAUAGCUUUGCAUACAUAUUGCAUUUCUGAGUUUUUUUUAGGUGAUUUUAAGCUGUUUGCGAGCAAAUUGGAAGAAGCGAGCCAGAACCAGAGGACAUACUCGACCCCCAGGCCGAGUACGUCCAGCACAAUACUCGACCCCCUGGUCGAGUGACUUUGGAGCCAUUCUACCUAUCUACUCGACCCCCAGGUCGAGUAACCGCAACUCAGGCCACUCGAUGACAUUACUCGACCCCCAGGUCGAGUAUCAUCACUCCCCAUGAACACCAUCACUCGACCAAGUACUCGAUCACAUCUUUGGAGUCUACUCAAAUCCGCACUCAACCAGACAAGAUGAGCACAAGGAAGAGAAGAGGAGAAGACGAAGUGUUUGGAAGCGGCCUGGAGCCCCAUCGGAUCACGAAGCCCAUCUUGGCCCAUUAUGACUCUAUGGGUCGGGUGAUUAGGUUAUUGGCCCGUCUACUAUCAUUUUAUUUCGUUUUGUAUAAAUAGAUGUCUUAGGGUUCUGUCCUGAGACAUCUAGUUGACUUUGAGUUUUUGCUUCAGUUUUAUUUUCUGUUUUACUCUGGCUGCACCGCUUUUGCUUCUACAACCUGUAAUUCGAGAUUUUUCCAAGUUAUUCAGAUUCCGCAUUUGAUUUCACCUGUCAUCUACUCUUUAUCUCUUUACUUUUG
rnacentral:sRNA from 1 species